UCUGCCGCCGAGUUCGCGCAGUGAUCGUCGGUCAUGUUUACUGUUAUUUUUCGCUGCUGACCGAAGACGCAUCGGCCGAUGACUUUUUCGUGCUUUGCCCGCUGAUCGACAGCGCGUAGCUAUGUGUUCCUCGGUGACGCCUGCGCCAGCUCCGGCGAACCGACACAAAAGGCGACGCGCCGUCUGGGCGAUUCGAUGAGUGUUGUGACAAACAAAGGCGACCCGACGAGAACUUCAAAAGGAGCGAGAGUGUAAAAAUCAGCGUAUCAGUCGUGCCGAGCGUCUAAAAGCUCAGGCAGGCGCCGUCAAAAUUCUUUUCCCACGUCCUGCGAUGAGUCUUCGGACCCUUUCCAGGCAAAGGGGAGUGCCAAAUUAGCUCGGAAACAGCCCUGAGUUUCCUGCCAGUCCGACGAGCGAAACGCGACGGACGACGUCGUCGUCGGGCAUGUCACGUCUCGACGUUAGGCCUACUGCCACCAGACGCGUUGACGACUUGGACGGCCGCCGCUGGUGUGUUGUGCGUUCCCGGAUUAUCAUGGUUUUUCCGAGAGCCGUCGGCCCCCGCCGUUGCCAGCUGCUGAUGUUCUGAAGCGACGCGCUCGACCCCCACACAUCGGCCAGCCAUGGGAAAUUGCCUCAAGUCGAUGUCGUCCGAUGACAUCUCGCUGCUGAGGGAUAACCAAGGCACAAGGGACUCGUCAGCUGAUCAGCUCGGACCCCCGCCGCCUUACCAGGAGACGGUGUCCAUGCCGGUGUACUACCCUUCGCCCAACGUGAGCCGUCCAGCCUGCCAGCUGACCGAGGAAGAGCAGGUGGUGAUCGCCCAACGGAUGGGCCUCAUCCAGCACCUUCCGACAGGCCUCUAUGAUGGCAGCAAGAAGAACAGAGAGUGCGUGAUAUGCAUGGGAGAGUUUGCAAUGGGCGAUGCAGUCCGGUUCCUGCCCUGCAUGCACAUCUACCACACGGACUGCAUCGACGACUGGCUGAUGCGCUCCUUCACGUGUCCCUCGUGCAUGGAACCGGUGGACGCGGCACUGUUGACCACCUACCAGACCAACUGAGGCCACCCCUCGCGACACAUUGCGCGUGCGCGCACACUCAUUGGUCUGUGUUGACGUGGGAUGUGUUUAGCCGCCUGGCAUCCUCUCCGAACUGUCUGCUGCUGCAGGGUGUGCCGCGGCUGUACUAAAGAGCGAGACGAAGUUCCUCAGACUCCGUCAGUUGCUUCCGCCUACCAUGGUUUCACGAGCGCACCAAAAGGAGGCCGAGAGCACUUCCAACGUCGCGAGACGUGGAGCGACGCAGGCCCGUCGACGCCAACCCUAGGGGCUUGGCGCCUCCUGCCGUCAUUAAAAAUUGUCCAGCCAGAAAAGCGCACCGGCGCAAGCUUCUGCUUGAGGACUUCUCAGUGCUGGCUUUCUGGGCUUUUCCCCCAAGCCUGUGUGUGGAUAUGUAAAUAGAGAGAGUGUAUUAGUAGUGCUUAGUUGUGAUGUUCGAAGGUUAAUGGAAGGCUCUCUCCCCUUACCUUCCCUGGUGCGUGGCGCACCUCCCGAGUGUGUCGGCUUAGUGGGCUUUGCAUUGACAUGACCUUGUAUCGGAGCGUUGUUUGAAAGGCUUGUCUUUUUUUUUUUUUUCCGUAGUUAUCAUUUGGUCCUGUUUCUUUUUGUUGUUCCUCUGUUCGGUCAUUUGCUGAGGAAGCUAACACCCUGCAGAAGAGAGCAGUGGUGAUAGCGUGGGCAAACACUCCAGUGUCUGGAUUGAUAGCCCCUUUGAGUGAGCCUAGUUUUCAUCCACUUGUGAUAAGUUGGUGCCUGCGCCCGCGUCGUAAGCCGUGGGCAUUGCUGUUUUAGAGCAAGUCUGGAAGAAAGGACACGGUGCUGACUUCGUACUUUGCCACUGUGUUGGCUAUUCAUCAGUUGUAUUGACCCACUUCGAGCGUGUUAACAAAAGCGGCUUUGAAUAGCUGACCCAUGAUUCCUCCUAUUGUUCUUGAAACGAGGUCCUUAACUGUCCUAUGUCUGUUCUGUCCGCUCAUCGAUCUGUUUCCCUUUAUUGAAGGUCUCAAUGUGAAAUCUUUCUUGCCGAUUGCUAUUGCGAGGACAGAGCAAUGGUUAUGAUCAAUGUUUUUUGAACGUUGGUAGUGGUGUGCUUAUGUUGAAGCAACAAACAGAAGAAAGCUUCUUUGGUGUUAGUGACAGUACGAAGCCCAAAGUCACGUUGCACAAUUCAGUUCGGUGGUGGUAAUUGCCAGCGAACUGUUGUCUUUUUUGUUGUGAUGUAAGAAUCAAUGCCACACUGUGCUCCACAACAAGCUGGGUAGAGUAGUGUGGCGUCAAACUUGUAAGUGUAAACAUGGCUUGCAAAAAAUGGAAGCACCGGUUUCUCAUGUACCAAAGCGAGCAGAUGGGCAGGGAAAUGAUUAGUCAUACUUGACCUUUAACGGACUUUACAGAUCCUUGAAUAUUUAGUCAAAAAUGUUAAGAGUAGUUGCUUGCACCUCUUGCUUGCUUGUGCCCAAACCUCAUAAUGCGUAUUGCCAUUCUGUAUAGCGAAGCAUUUUUGCGCUAGGUUAUCUGAGAAAUAGAAAUCCACUGCCUAAACUAAAGCUAAACUAAACUGUGAAGCGACUUGUGGAAACAUUGGUGUGCAAAGAGGUCCUGCAGGACUGUAAGCACGCCUUGUUCAUGACGCUGCAGGCCAUUGCAAAGUGGAGUAGCUGGUUUGUCUUUUGCAUAGAUGACACCAGUUAAGCUAGUUCCUUGGAACUUUUAUUGCUACCAGGCGAGUAGGAUACAGAAAUGGGUAAUGCAACAAUGUUAAACGUGCAAUAGGGGAUGGGGGCUGGCUGAACAUUACACAAGCACCAAUCGCUGUCAAAAUGGGAUGUUAACUGUUUUUUCCCCCCCAAUCGUACGAUGUGUAAACGUUCCCCCCGCACUGAUAAUUAUAAUAUAACUAAAUAUCUGGGCACGAGCAAACAAGAGUUGUAAUUUUUUUUUUUCUUUGAAGAUUUCGUGUAUGUUUGAUAUAUUUGAAUACAGGGUGAGUGUAAGCUGUUCACACAAUGUACUGCAAAUUUCCAGUUGGUAUGCUGCGAUACCACGGCCAAGGCCAGUGUCUCCUGUUAUGCUCCAAGCUUGAUUAAAAAUUUGUAAGGAGUUUAGAUUUGCUGGUGGCGAAGGCCAGAUUGCAGUGCUGGCUAUUAAUCUACUUGAAAUGAAUCUGCCUAGUGCCAGAGUUCGACUGUAUAUGUAUAACAGCACAUUGCUUCAGAGUAGCGGUUGUUUGCACAUUUGUAUAGCUUUUGAAACUUGAGCUUACCAGGGUUUUCGCCGCACUACGAUUGCCGCACGGUCACAGAUCCAAAUAUAGCCAGCCAGCUUAGCUUCCUUUUAAAUGGUUGUUGGCAGUAGGUUGAGGCAGCUUGAACAUCUAUAAGAGAAAUAGACAUCUUUUCCGUAAGGAGCCCCUGUAUUUUAUGGCCACCUAGAACGGUUUCUUUUUGUGGGGGUGGGGGGGAUGUGGUCGCAAAUGACGGACUGUGGUUUUGAGUCCUACAUGCAACGCCAGCCUGCUAUGGAAGUGAACAACGGCUGUUGCACCAAGUAUUUCCGGUAUUUUGUUUUUUAUCACCCGCAAUAUUGUUUUGUUUGUUUUGCAGACAAAGUUGUUCUUUAUAGACGCACACUUCACUUUCCCGUUUUUUUUUUUUUUUUUUUUUUUUUUAUCCCCGGACAUGGUGUAGGAAUCGCAUCCGUACUUACUGGUAGCCAAACUCAUUCAUUCACCACUUCUUGUUUGUCUGCAAGUUGUUUCACAGACGGCUUUCCAUUAGCUUUUUUUUUUUUUUUUUUUUUUUUAUGAACGCUUUCUUGGGAGAAAUGAACACAAUAGCUUUGUGUUAAAAUUUGGUUCAUCAGUGGAAUUGCGAGAAAGGUUUCAGUGGUCGGUCAGUAUACUUACCACACCAGAAUGGACACUUGUGCUAGUUUUGAAAGCGUGGAAGGCCCACUGUUUCAGUUUGCGCAUACCUUGUUUUGAGCUUGUGAAACAUUGGGAUGCUCCUUUCUGUGCUAUGCUCUCGGGUGUGUUGGCAAAGAAGAAAAAAAAAAAAAGAAAAGAAAAAACAGCAGAGAGCCUUUCAUCGCGCAAAGUAAAAUAUCUUGGCCUAGUCAUUAGCAGUGAUGGAGCUUUCAUGUGCGGUUUUCAUUCCUUCUUGGGACGUGUAAAUAAAAGAAAUAUGCUUGA
rnacentral:misc_RNA from 1 species